AGUGAACGCUGGCGGUAGGCCUAACACAUGCAAGUCGAACGGCAGCACAGUAAGAGCUUGCUCUUACGGGUGGCGAGUGGCGGACGGGUGAGGAAUACAUCGGAAUCUACUUUUUCGUGGGGGAUAACGUAGGGAAACUUACGCUAAUACCGCAUACGACCUACGGGUGAAAGCAGGGGAUCUUCGGACCUUGCGCGAUUGAAUGAGCCGAUGUCGGAUUAGCUAGUUGGCGGGGUAAAGGCCCACCAAGGCGACGAUCCGUAGCUGGUCUGAGGGGAUGAUCAGCCACACUGGGACUGAGACACGGUCCAGACUCCUACGGGAGGCAGCAGUGGGGAAUAUUGGACAAUGGGCGCAAGCCUGAUCCAGCCAUACCGCGUGGGUGAAGAAGGCCUUCGGGUUGUAAAGCCCUUUUGUUGGGAAAGAAAAGCAGCAGGUUAAUACCCCGCUGUUCUGACGGUACCCAAAGAAUAAGCACCGGCUAACUUCGUG
rnacentral:rRNA from 1 species